GCAGGCGCCGCCCGCCUCCCCCCCCCCUCGCCGCCCGCCCUGGUGUCAUUCCGUGGUGGAAAGCCGCGUUCAAAAGCGGCGCGAGGCUGGCAAUUCGCUUAGUGGUGCUGAGGAAAGAAGCCUGGGCGAACGCCGCGCGCCAAGUCGCUGAAGGAAGCGGAGGAGGAGGAGGAGAAGCCUCCAAGCAGCGCCUGGGUGUCCCGCCCGCCGGGCUGAAGCUUCCAGUGCUUGCUGCGCGCUCCUUUCCCUUCUCUGUCUUGCGGGAACUUUAUUGGCGGCGGCGGCGGGAGGAGGAUGCUGGAGGACGGCUUCAAGCCGGUGAAGGAGGGCAUGCUGGAGAAGCGCAGCGACGGCUUGCUGCAGCUCUGGAAGAAGAAGCGCUGUAUUCUCACCGAGGAAGGGCUGCUGCUUAUCCCGCCCAAGCAGCCGCAGCAGUCUCCGCCGCUGGAGCUGGCGGCGGCAGCGGCGGCGGCUCCCCCUGGCACGGAGACGACGGUGGUGGCCGCCAAGAUCAAGGAGCUGCCCUUCUCCACCAUGAAGACGGUGGAUUGUGUGGAAAGGAAGGGCAAGUACGUGUAUUUCACGGUGGUGAUGGCCGAGGGCAAGGAGAUCGACUUUCGGUGUCCGCAGGAGCAGGGCUGGAACGCCGAGAUCACUCUGCAGCUGGUGCAGUACAAGAACCGCCAGGCCAUCCUGGCCGUCAAGUCCACUCGGCAGAAGCAGCAGCACCUCGUCCAGCAACACGGUCCCCGCCUCCGAAGCGCCUCCAACUCCGCCUAGCCGGGCCCCGCGUCCAGGUACAGACAUCGCCCGCUCGCGAUCUUGUGCCCAAGCCAGGGACCAGGCGCGACAAGGAAGGCACCCGCUGAGCAGUGGCUGGGUUGGGAGUAGGAUGAAUUGACGAAGCACUUCUGGAAGCAAGGCGGACCCUGUAUCUGUUGAUCACAAACUUUGCAGACAAAUGGAGCACAGGUACAUCAUGGAGAACAUCAGUUCAGCCACUGGAGCUUUUCCAUUUUUGAUACAAUCCAUUGUUGCUUUGAGAAAGCAUUUUAACUCCUGUAGGUUUUGACUACUACUUAUGGAUCUUUGGAAGGACUAUUUGACCUGCUGGGCCUCAAAGGACACACAUUGUACUGCCAUUUUUUAAUGUAUUUUAUUUUUUAUGUUUUAUUUAUUGGGUUUUUAAAAAAGGUUUGUUUGCAAAAUAUUUCUGAAUGUUGGCCAUCUAGAAGGAAUCAAAUACAGAGCAUACUUAUUAUUGGGUGUAUAUAUUGCUGCCCUUGGAGAGAGGAGAAACUGAAGAAAGAAGAUGAUGGAGAAAUGAAGAGACUCAUCAGCAAAUACACUUUGCCACUAGUUGUUCACAUCGGUUUUAAUCUGUGGUGCUGCUAAGUUGCUGAGGGUCCUGGGGGAAAGCUCUACAGUGGGCCCCAUGAUAAUCUGCCCCAUCUUCCCUGUGGUGCCCUUGCUCCGCCCACCCUCCUCUGCCCCAGUUUACCUAAAAGGGGAAGGAGGGAGGGAAUGCGGUCAUGGGGAAGUGGCAUUGGUGAGCUGGCUGGUGGCUGUUCCCUUCUUCGGCAAAUGGUGAGGUUGCAGCUGCUCUUCCUCCUCAUCCUUUUAGGGUGGGAGAUGGAGGAGUAAUUGCUACUAUUCCUCCCCUACAUUUGCCAUGCAUCAGUGAGAGGGAGAAGCUACUGCAGAGUCUAUUGGUAGCAGUCCCCCCCCAUUAUCACACUAUUGUAGGGGACAAUUAUACAUUCAUCGGAGUGUAAUAAUAAUUAUCACAUUAUUAUACAUUCAUCUGAGGAGUAUUUCGACAGAAAAUACAGUUAAGUAUGCCACUUUUAAAUGUUCUCUUUCAUGAACAGACUAAAGAACUUUGGCUUUAUUGACUAUCAAGAAGAAUAGAUUUAAACCUAAAUUCAUUGUAUCUUCUUGUUCAUAUGGUAUUCAUAUAGCAGAACCAUACUGAGAACUAUUUGCAGUUCUUUGUCUUGUGGGAUCCUCCUGUCCAUAAUGUUUCUGAGUUGUUUUACUUUACUCUCCUCACAUCAUUUUUGAAACCUCUUCACAUUUCACACUAACAUGGUCCCAUCUGGAAAAUUUCUUAAAUUGCUUAACUGAGGAAUUUUCCCAUUAUUCUUGUAAUUGAGUUUCUGGGCUGAGCCCUAUUACAAUUUUUUUUUUCAUAGCCUGCUGCUAUAUGUACAAUUCUUUCUUAGAGAAACAAAAAUUUUAAAAAGCACAAAGUAUUAUCAAGCCUGUAUGAACAGAAGUUACUUCAGUUAUGGAACACUCAUUUUUUAGCUUGGUAAGCAAGCUGCUUUUCAUAUUUAUGUUGAUAUUUAUAGUCUUAAAAUAGUUCAAAUAGGACUUCAGUAACAGCAUUGUCAUCUAAAAAUAAUGUUAAUCAGUUCACUCUGCUGCAAGGAUCUUAAUGUUCAUUGAAUAAGAAAAAUGUGGAAAUUUGCAAACAUGUUUAUAAUCUUCAACCCAACUAUUCUCUUUUGAAGGCUAGCUUGUGGUUUGGCUUUUUUCUUCUUCUAAAGCAGUCUAAUUCUGCAAGAAGCAGAGUUCAUUCUGCCCCUUCUAACCUCAGAUUAGUUACAGCAUGGUGCACCUUGAAAUAUUAACUCUUUGAAAGCAGCCCUUUAUAUCCUAAUCUUGGCUAGUUAUGAUCUUCUCUGUAAGAUUUGAGCCAGCUUGAUGUAGUGGUUAGAGUGCUGGACUAGGACCGGGGAGACCUGAGUUCAAAUCCCCAUUCAGCCAUGAAACUAGCUGGGUGACUCUGGGCCAGUCACUUCUCUCUCAGCCUAACCUACUUCACAGGGUUGUUGUGAAAGAGAAACUCAAGUAUGUAGUACACCGCUCUGGGCUCCUUGGAGGAAGAGCGGGAUAUAAAUGUAAAAAUAAUAAUAAUAAUAAUAAUAAUAAUAAUGAUUUCAGCUGUAACUCUCAGUGAUCUCAAGUAUGGGCUAGAUGGAGGAUGAGAAAUUCCUGGCUUCCUUAAUCAACAUUAUCCAAAUUGUGAUGAAAUCUUUGUAAGAGAAAUCACCUGGCACCAGUGGAAUUUGGAAGCAGGGCUUACAUGAGUCUUACCAUUUUCCUUUGCCCACCUGAAUCAGUAACAGUGGGUCUCGCCCCCACACAAAAAUAUUGUGGAAAUAGAAUUUGGACCAAAGUAUUACAUUCUCAUGCAACUCUUCCAUGUACUGAAAACAUUUUAAAAAGCAACAAUCCAAUUAUAUUACUGGCUGUCUAUUUUUCACAAGGCAGAGGAAAACUGAUGCCAGGCCAGCUCAGAUUUUGUGGUAAUUCCAGUUCAUAAUAUCCACUGAAGUAUUGGCAACCUACCAUGUGUACCUGGCUAUACAAAAGGAAAAGCCCACAGAUAAAAAGCUGACACCCUGCAGUCACUAUGGACAGUGUGAGAGAAUCAUGCUUUUUCUCUGACCACCAGAAAUAAAAAUUCUUGUGUCUUCAGUUGGGUAGUUACAUAGAGGGCAAACUGUACUGCCAUCCUGAAUUCUGUUUUUGUGCUUGUAAUAUUUGACUUGUAUGAAGCCAAGCAGGCUGUAGCUACUUUCCCCCUUCACAUAGUCUUUGGGUUUGCUUCAUUUUGUAUUGCCUAUAGCAGUGGUUCCCAACCUGGGGCCUCCAGAUGCUGCUGAACUACAACUCUCAUCAGCUCCUGCCACAAUGUAUUGUGGCUGGGGAUGAUGGGAGUUGUAGUUCAGCAACAUCUGGAGGCCCCCAGGUUGGGAACCACUGACCUAUAGGAUUUAAAAUCAGUGGCUGGGCCAACAUGAACAGCCUUCCAGUGAUGAUGUGCUCCAUGCCACAGCUGCUAAGGACUCGUAAGGCAGCCCUGAUUCUAUUGAGAAUGAGCAGUUGUGGAAGCAUCCCCCCUGCAGUUGUUCCCAAUUAGGUGAAUGGGAAUACCUGCAUUAACACUACUUGUGCACCUGCUCAUUCACAACAGAGUUGAGACUGCCUUAUGAGUCCACAACUGCCCCGGCAUGGAUCACACAAUCACUGGAAUACUGCAUGUCAUGUCCACCAUCCUAACUGGAGUCAUUUAGACACUGCUGCAUUUCUGAUGCUAAAUAAAAUGUUCUGAGUGCAUAGUAGACAUUAAAAGAGAGGUUGAACCUAAAUAGUGCAGGACAUUUGAGCAACAGAUUUAGGCUCAAAUCCUAAAUGGCACUUAUCAAGUCAACUUGGUAGAUUUAUUUCCAAAUACACUUGCUUAGGAUUGGGAUGGAAGUCCAACUAUUUCAGAGCUUCACUGUAAGGGAACAUGGACAUAGAUAAUGUGGGGCAGAUAGAGCAGUGUUGGAAAACAAGUAAGGAUUACAAUUGAUGAGAAAGGGGCUCCCUAAUUAAUUGUGCCCAUUACAAAAAUAUGUAAGGAAGGGUCAAAUUUCAUCAAGAACAUCCAGGCUAUAAUGACAGUAAUUAUAGAGGCUGUAGGUUUUGCCUGUUUUAGGCUUCCCCCCCCCAUGUGGUGCUCACCAUUCUGAAAAGAGGUGCACAAACAAAUCAGGAUGUAUUGGCUGUUCUUACUAACAUGCUUCCAAUGCACCAAUGAAAAGCAGCUUUACAAAAGUUGAUGAAAAAAAUUUGAUAUCCUGCUUAUACGUUUGGUCCUCUGCAUUUUAUGGAUCACCUCAGUAGGAAGUAGGAAGAGUGGCAGUAGGAAGAGUGGAAAUAAGCCACUAGUAUAUUUGAGAAGCUGUCUUUGGUAUUCAGAAGAAAGGAAUUCAACCCAAUCUUUUAUCUGUCACAUUCUGGAAGUGCCCCCUCUUUAAAGAUCAUGGUAUGGAAAUACUUGCUUCUGCAAAUUAGCUGCAGUGAUCUAACAAACGCUUUUGCAUAUCCUAUUGUGAGCUGAAACAAGUGUUAUCAGUCAAAUGUGUGUAAAUAUGAUUCAAAUUAUUUCUGAGAGAUGUGAUUUAUUUUUCAAUAUGCAUUCCAUUUCAAAUAAAGUAUCUAUUGAAGUA